CGGGCUGUAGCGCAGCUUGGUAGCGCACCUGACUGGGGGUCAGGGGGUCGUCGGUUCGAAUCCGGCCAGCCCGA
rnacentral:tRNA from 2 species